rnacentral:lncRNA from 1 species
CAGGUAGUCAAGAGAUGAUGGUGUCUCUAACUACAACACUGGCCUCAGAACCUUAGGAUUCAGGUAGAGUUCAUGGUUCCCCUAAUAAUACUAGUCACCAUGGGAUUUUUUGAGGUGCGUAUAGAAGAUGUAUCCCUAACCACUACUGCUGCCAUAUGGUUUUGCAAGCUCCUAUCAAGAGAUAAUGGUGAAACUCAUAUUGGUCAUUUUUGUAGGAAUUUCAUGGAAUCUAGCUAAGUGAUUAUGUGGACCUUAAACACAGUACAGACCAUCUGCUCUUCAGACAUCGAGGUAAGUGAUGAUGAUGUCCUCAACAUGUGUUGGUAUCAUGUGUUUUGCAGGUAUUCGGGUAAAAAAAAUGAUACGGGCUCUACCAGUAAGUAUUGGAAUCCAUGAGCUUUAGCUUAACCAGUUUUCUAGUUUAGAGAUAUUGUGUGUUUAACUUUAGGAGUGAAUGAGGGAUUUUCAGGUAUCUAGGCAAGUGAUCAUAACUUUCUUCACCACAGUAAUGACCUUGAGAUUUUUAUAGAUGCCCAGACAAUAAAUGAUGGUGCCUGUACCAAUGUGUUGACCUUCAGGUUCUGCCAAUAUCCAGGUAGCAUUAAUGGGUUUGUAAAGAUGGAAGUGACAAAAGUUAUUUGCAGAUGUUCUGCUAGAAAAAGUUGCAUUCUUAAACACAUCUGUCACAAUAUGUUUUUUCAGGUUUCAGUCUAAAGAUCAAGGUAACCCUAACAACGGGGAUUAACAUGGAGCUUUGCUGGUAUCCAGGCAAGUGAUGAUGUGGGUCUUAUCACACGGUAGACAUUGUGACCUUCAGAAGUUUACAUAAGUGAUGAUGAUACCUCUAACAUUUGUGUUACCGUGUUUUUAUGGUUUUUUGCAGAUAUUCAGGUAAGAAAUUAUAGUGUUCCCAUAAUUCCUAUUUAAGAAUACACCCUUACUGCUUACUAGUGCAGAGAUAAUGUUUUGAAAUCUGGCUAUGACUGAGGGAUUUGUAAGUUUCCAAGUAAAUUAUCGUACUGUUUCUCAUCUCAGUAUUGACUAUGGUAUUUUUACAGGUACCCAGUCAAGAGAUUAUGACAUAUCCAUGGUUUUGACCUGGAUAUUCUGCAAGUAUCAAGGUAAAGUUGAUGGUUCUCCUACUGCUAGUGAUUCUCAUGAGAUGUGUCAUGGUCUAAAUAGAAAAAGACGUAUCUCUAACCAUGGGCUGCCUUUAUGGGUUUUUAGGUGCUGUCAGUGGAUGGUGGUGAAACUAACAAUGAUAGUGAACAUGGACUUAGCUAAAAGAGAGGGAAAAGAUGGUGUGAGCCUUUACACUUUGGAGAGCUUCAGGUUUCAGUUAUCUCGGAUUCUGUCAGGAGAUUAUGGUGAGCCCAACAGUGGUAGUUGA